rnacentral:lncRNA from 1 species
AUUACCUUUUUUUUUUUAGUUUAUUUUGCCUUUAUAAAAUAAUAAUAAUAAUAAUAAUAAUAAUAAUAAUAAUAAUAAUAAUAAUAAUAGUAGUAGUAGUAGUAGUAGUAGUAGUAGUAGCAGUAGUAGCAGUAGUAGUAGUAGUAGUAGAGGAUCAAUUAAAUAGCAAAGAAGUAUAGUUUACUCCACAAUUAACAAAUUAUAUAAGCAUGUCUUCUGGGCUACUGAUUUUCCUUUAGAAGAAACUGAACAUUUUAGUCUCAGAUAAAACGAUUGCAGGAGGUUAAACAGGCCACAGGAGGCUCCUUGUUCAGUUCAAAUUUCAGCUAGUAAAGUUAAGCAGAAAAAAACCUUGCCAACUUUUAUGCCAGAUUAAUCCACUUAACUGCUGGUUACUUCACAUUGCCUACUUCAUUUUGAUUCACUAAGUGUUUGAAGUUUUCCAUCUCCUUUCCUGUAGAUGUGUUACUGGAGUUUGAAUGCUCUGAGGAAGGGAAGCCAUGAAUUUUUGCAUGCGGGCUCUGACUUGUUGCAUAUCUUUCAAGCAAACUUUAGGAAUCGAGCUGUACACAUGUAAGGAGCCCCUGAGACAGAUGGAGGCAGACAAGUAACGAUCACAAGCUGAAUAUGCAUCACUCUUCUUAACUCUGGCAGGAGCUUCACCACAAAUCCAUCACCACACUGCUGCAUAUGCAGUGAGCUGGACAAGGCCCUGGCUGUAGCUGAUCUGUAUAUACUCCAGCCAUGAGAUUAUCUUGGAUGCUCAGAGACAGAAGGUGAGGAAGUGUGACCAUUGUUGAGGGUGAAGAGGCAUUGUGGGUAGAAACCUGGUG